AAAGUAUUGUUGGAGUUGUUUGUAGUUUUGUCAAAGUCAAUAGGAGACUUGGGACGUUAUGAAGAUAAAGAGGUUAAAGCCAUAACAGCUGAGGGGAGACAACUUAGCCACCAAGGGCUGAUUGACAGAUUGAGAAUGUUGUCUCUACUUUCGGCAAGGCAGUUCUUUUGUGAAGUUGAAGGGAUUCCACUGUGAAUGAAAAUAGGAUUUAAACCAGCGUUACAAGUUGUUGUCUCAACUAAAGUGGUGUAACCUCGAUUAUCCUCUGAACCAGAAGCACAGAGAUGGUUUUAGAAAUUAGGAAAAAGAGCCAUGGAAACUGAUAAAAGAAUACACUUGUGAACUCAUCUAUAUCAUUGGAGCCAUUGGAGGUGGUU